GUUUGUCAACUCUAUCCAAUGGCUGGUCACAUAGUAAUUGGGAGAAUCACAGAAUCACAGAAUCACAGAAUGGCCUGUGUUGGAAGGGACCUCAAGGAUCGUGAAUCUCCAACCCCCCCACCACAGAAUUUGCAACUGAACUCCUUACUAAAAUCACACGCAGCAGUGAUUUCCAGGAAUGCAGUGAUGUCCAGGAAGGCACUGAUGUCCAGGAAGGACCAUAUUCCAUGGUCUUUGGAGAGAUCUUGUCGUUACUUGCCUGCUGAAUUUAGGAUCUUUGUUACCUUAAUCCUAAAUAAAACUGCUCUUAAAACGUCAUUCAAGGCCCUUUUUCAGUAUUUGUUUACCCUGAGCUGUUCUGAGGUUCUUACAAGACAUGUACACCUUUGUGCAAGUGGAAAACAUGAUUUAUUUGUAUGUCUCCUGGAUUCUUCUGUCUUGACAUGCUCCUUGAUGCAGCCUUUGAUUAUUUCAACUUAUGAACAGUCAAGAGUCCAAUGUUAAGGAAUUAUUAUACAGCAAAAAUAAUAACAAAUGAAUGAGUAGAAUUUCAGCUGUGAUCCAGAUCAGUUCUACAGAGGCUGAACCCUCCCACCAAGAUUCCAUUACAUUUGUUGCCAUGUGACAGAUGACAGCAAAAGGGCAGUCUGACAAAACUGCGUCUGACAUGGAAGUGUUUAUGAAGAACCAGUAUGGAAUUGAAUUCCUCCAUGCAGAAAAAAUGGCGCCCACUGACAUUCAUUGACACUUGCUGUAGGAUGUGAGCACAGUGAGGGGUGGACGGUGCAUUUCAGCAAUGGUGACAGCGCCAUGAAAGACAAGCCACAUUCCAGAC
ensembl:lncRNA